rnacentral:lncRNA from 1 species
CGAGAGAAGAGCGAGAGUGAGCACAGGCAGACAGAGUGACAAGCAGAGGCAGAGGAGAAGCAGGCUCCCUGCCAAGCAAGGAGCCCGAUGUGGGACUCGAUCCCAGGAUGCUGGGAUCAUGACCUGAGCCAAAGACAGCUGCCUAACCAACUGAGCCACCCAGGCAUCCCUACAGGAGACAUUUGGCAUUGCUGGAAGACAGUUGGACGUAGAAGGCACUACUGGUACCCAGUGGCUAAGGUGGGGGAAAGGUGGAAACUGGUCACAAUCCUGCAGUGCACAACAAAGAAUCAUCUCAGCGUCAAUGUUAGUAGUGCUGAGGCCAAGAAACCCCGCUCUGGGGGCAUCUGGCUGGCUCAUUGGGAAAGCAUGCAACUCCUGAUCUCCAGGUUGUAAGUUCAAGCCCCCUUGUGGGUGUAGAGAUCACAUAAAAAUAAAAUCUUGGGUGCCUGGGUGGCUCAGUGGGUUAGGCCUCUGCCUUUGCCUUGGGUCGUGAUCUCAGGGUCCUGGGAUCAAGUCCUGUGUCAGGCUCUCUGCUUGGCGGGAGCCUGCUUCCUCCUCUCUCUCUCUGCCUACUCGUGAUCUCGCUCUGUCAAAUAAAUAAAUAAAAUCUUUAAAAAUAAUAAAAUAAAAUAAAAUCUUAGAAAAACAAAAACAAACCCAAACCCUGCUCUGUAGUAUUCCAGUAUGUCACAAUUUAUCCAUUCCUCAAAUGAUGGGGACACAGAAAGCUUUACACUAGUUACGAUUGUGAACUGCCUGAAAUGUUCAUAACUUAGGGUUUGUCCCCAUGACAACGUAUUAUGCAGUUAGGAGAUUUCACAUUUACAAAGAAUUUUUUUGUUUUGUUUUGUUUUGUUUUUAAGAUUUUAUUAUUUACUUAUUUGACAGAAAGAGUUCACAAGCAAGCAGAGAGAGUGAGGGGGAAGC